UACGAAGGGGGCUAGCGUUGUUCGGAAUUACUGGGCGUAAAGCGCGCGCAGGCGGUCUUCCAAGUCAGUGGUGAAAGCCCGGAGCUCAACUCCGGAACUGCCAUUGAAACUGUAAGACUUGAGGAUGAGAGAGGUGAGUGGAAUUCCCAGUGUAGAGGUGAAAUUCGUAGAUAUUGGGAAGAACACCGGUGGCGAAGGCGACUUACUGGACACAUAUUGACGCUGAGGUGCGAAAGCGUGGGGAGCAAACAGG
rnacentral:rRNA from 1 species